AACGAACGCUGGCGGCAGGCUUAACACAUGCAAGUCGAACGCCCCGCAAGGGGAGUGGCAGACGGGUGAGUAACGCGUGGGAACGUGCCCUUCGCUUCGGAAUAGCCCCGGGAAACUGGGAGUAAUACCGAAUACGCCGUAUUGGGAAAGAUUUAUCGGCGAAGGAUCGGCCCGCGUUAGAUUAGCUAGUUGGCGGUGUAAUGGACCACCAAGGCUACGAUCUAUAGCUGGUCUGAGAGGAUGAUCAGCCACACUGGGACUGAGACACGGCCCAGACUCCUACGGGAGGCAGCAGUGGGAAAUUUUGGACAAUGGGCGCAAGCCUGAUCCAGCCAUGCCGCGUGAGUGAAGAAGGCCUUAGGGUUGUAAAACUCUUUCGCCGGAGAAGAUAACGACGGUAUCCGGAGAGGAAGCCCCGGCUAACUUCGUGCCAGCCGCCGCGGUAAGAC
rnacentral:rRNA from 1 species